rnacentral:tRNA from 1 species
AUUAUAAUAGCUUAAAUUAAAGCAUGGCUUUGAAGCUGCCCCUAUCAUAUCUUCCGUGUUAUAAUA